CCUACGGGAGGCAGCAGUGGGGGAUCUUGCACAAUGGGGGGAACCCUGAUGCAGCGACGCCGCGUGGGUGAAGAAGCGCCUCGGCGCGUAAAGCCCUGUCAGCAGGGAAGAAAAUGACGGUACCUGAAGAAGAAGCCCCGGCUAACUACGUGCCAGCAGCCGCGGUAAUACGUAGGGGGCAAGCGUUAUCCGGAUUUACUGGGUGGAAAGGGGGCGCAGACGGCGAUGCAAGCCAGGAGUGAAAGCCCGGGGCCCAACCCCGGGACUGCUCUUGGAACUGCGUGGCUGGAGUGCAGGAGGGGCAGGCGGAAUGCCUGGUGUAGCGGUGAAAUGCGUAGAUAUCAGGAGGAACACCGGUGGCGAAGGCGGCCUGCUGGACUGCAACUGACGUUGAGGCCCGAAAGCGUGGGGAGCAAACAGGAUUAGAUACCCCAGUAGUC
rnacentral:rRNA from 1 species